rnacentral:rRNA from 1 species
GACAGAGGGUGCAAACGUUGCUCGGAAUCACUGGGCGUAAAGGGCGCGUAGGCGGACUCUUAAGUCGGGGGUGAAAGCCCAGGGCUCAACCCUGGAAUUGCCUUCGAUACUGGGAGUCUUGAGUUCGGAAGAGGUUGGUGGAACUGCGAGUGUAGAGGUGAAAUUCGUAGAUAUUCGCAAGAACACCAGUGGCGAAGGCGGCCAACUGGUCCGAAACUGACGCUGAGGCGCGAAAGCGUGGGGAGCAAACAGG